rnacentral:rRNA from 1 species
AGUGGGGAAUAUUGGACAAUGGGGGCAACCCUGAUCCAGCCAUGCCGCGUGAGUGAUGAAGGCCUUCGGGUUGUAAAGCUCUUUUGGCGGGGACGAUGAUGACGGUACCCGCAGAAUAAGCCCCGGCUAACUUCGUGCCAGCAGCCGCGGUAAGACGAAGGGGGCAAGCGUUGUUCGGAAUUACUGGGCGUAAAGGGCGCGUAGGCGGUUUGCUUAGUCAGGCGUGAAAGCCCUGGGCUUAACCUGGGAUGUGCGCUUGAUACUGGCAGGCUUGAGUGUGGGAGAGGUUGGUGGAAUUCCCAGUGUAGAGGUGAAAUUCGUAGAUAUUGGGAAGAACACCGGUGGCGAAGGCGGCCAACUGGACCACAACUGACGCUGAGGCGCGAAAGCGUGGGGAGCAAA